UAAUUUUAAAUGGCCGCAGUAUCCUAACUGUGCAAAGGUAGCAUAAUCAUUAGUCUUUUAAUUGAAGGCUGGUAUGAAUGGUUGGACGAGGUAUUGACUGUUUCAAAUAAAUUUAUAAUUGAAUUUUAUUUUUUAGUUAAAAAGCUAAAAUUUUAUUAAAAGACGAGAAGACCCUAUAAAUCUUUACUUUUAAGUUUAUUUUAAUUAUUAAGAUGAAUUUUAUUAUAAUAAAAUUAAAAGUUUUAUUGGGGUGAUAUUAAAAUUUAAUGAACUUUUAAUUUGUUAUAACAUUAAUUAAUGAAUAAUUGAUCCGUUAAUGACGAUUAAAAAUUUAAGUUACUUUAGGGAUAACAGCGUAAUUUUUUUGGAGAGUUCUUAUCGAUAAAAAAGAUUGCGACCUCGAUGUUGGAUUAAGAAAAAUUUUAGGUGUAGUCG
rnacentral:rRNA from 1 species